rnacentral:lncRNA from 1 species
GUUAGCGGGAGAGGCAGAGAUAUUCAGAGGUCUUUUAGGAUGCGCUAAAGGGUCGUGAGGGCUCUCUUAAAAUUUUCUUCACAAGCGGUUAUCCAGUCGUGCCCCGCGGCCCUGCCGCUGGCCCCGGGGAUCUGAGUCGUACCCUCUUGUUUUUCUCUGAGUCAGUCUUAAGGUGAAAUGAAGUGUGGCCCAGUGGCUCCUCACUGUCGCUUCCCUAGUUUUCUGCCUCCUUUUAGAAAAUGUGCUAAAGAACAUGCAGACACAGAGCAGACAGGCCACCUUUGCAACCACAUGGAGGUUUGUCUGAUAUUGAAGCUAAAGAAGCUAAGCUGGAAGACAGAGAGAGCAAGUCCUGAUGACAUUGUUUGAACCCAGAGAUCCAGACAUGCCUGAAAACUAGUUUUACCACUGGACUUAUCCGUUGAAUGAGCCAAUAAACUCUCUUUUAUAC